CAGAAAGACCCUAUGAAGCUUUACUGUAACUUGAAAUUGAAAUUGGACUUUAUUCGCGCAGUAUAGGUGGGAGGCGUUGAUUAUAAUCUUGUGGGAUUAUUGGAGCCAUCAGUGAGAUACCACUCUUGUAAUGUUAGAUUUCUAACUUUGAAUCAUUAUCUGGUCAAAGAACAGUUUCAGGCGGGCAGUUUGACUGGGGCGGUCGCCUCCCAAACGGUAACGGAGGCGUACAAAGGUUUCCUCUGAACGGGUAGAAAUCGUAUCUAGAGUGUAAAGGCAUAAGGAAGCUUGACUGUGAGACCUACAAGUCGAGCAGGGACGAAAGUCGGUCUUAGUGAUCUGACGGUACUGAGUGGAAAGGCCGUCACUCAACGGAUAAAAGUUACUCUAGGGAUAACAGGCUGA
rnacentral:rRNA from 1 species